GAGCCCAGCCCUCCAGGGCACUGACUCCACUCUGGGGGCUUCAUCUGACUCUGAAGUGAGUCUUGGGCACGGGAUAUGAAGCCUUUCACUGCUAGGGCCUCCAGGCCAUGCCCACGCUGACGCGACAGCUACGCCGGGACUGGUAUCCCCACGGCACACAGCUGGGUCACCUCGGGUCCGGCCGAUGUGCCUGCAGCCCCAGGUGCUUGGCUGUGGGAAGGGGCCGAAGCGGCAGAUCCUCCAGCGUAGAGCAGAGACAGCGGUGGAGUAGAGUGUCCUGUUCUGGGCAUGGAAGAGUCCAAUUGUCAGGGCCAUUAGUGUAACAGCUUCUACCAGUCUGACUAUACUGAAUUCAGUUCCCCCAAGCCUCGAAUUUAGGGAUGUUUAAAACCCUCAGAGCAGCUGCUCUCUUGCUGAGCUCUCGCUAAGCCGUGUGUAUAACAAUGCUCCUGAAUGGAUCCAUCUGCAGGGAUUGAACCUGCGAUCUCUGGCUCUAGAAACGUGGCUGUGGCUGUUUGAGCUGACAGACCAAGUCUGUUCGCUUACCCGGUAACACUCGUAAACCUGUGUAUGCGGUGUCACCCCAAAGGGGACGAAGUCGCACCGUUAGCACAGGGGCCAUGUGGCAGGAGGCGAUCAGGGUAACAGGCGUUUGCAGUCACCAGCCUGGCGUGGGUGAACCAGGCAGGGUAUGACUGAGAGAACAUGAAAGAAAAGCAGCACAGCGUCUCUCCCCAGAGGGUUUGCUGCAUCCGAACCAGUCGCUGGUCCAUCUAAUUAGUUACCUGCAUGGGCAGAAGAUACUUGAUACUGGAGGGCUCCUGAGCCUAGCAGGCAAAAGUGGAACACAAUACAAGGGCUGGGAGUUGGCAAAGUUAAAACUGGAAAUAUGGUGCAAAUUGUUACCAGUGCUGGUAAUGGACCAUUGGAACAGCUUCCCCAGGGAUGGGGCGGCUUCUCCAUGCGGUGGGCGCUUUGCAUCGAGGCAAAGUGGCUUUCUAGAAGAUGCCCCAAUUCAACCACACGUUAUGGGCCUGAUGCAGGCAUCACUUGGUGGAAUUCUCCGGCCUGUGCUCUGCAGGAAGUCAGACGAGAUGUCCGUAACAGUCCCUUGCAACUCUAAUGCCUGUGGGUAGCUUAUCUUGGCCAGAGGCUGGUGCCAGGUGGGUCAGAGGAAGAUAUAACCGUCCUUCCCUUCUGCCAGUAACGCUCAGUCAGCGCGUGCCCUGCAACCACCACCAGCUGCACCAAGGUGGAAGGUGAGACCACAUGAUCUGUGUGUUACCUCUGUGGAUGGACAUCUGCCCAUGUGCUCCUCUGCCCCAUGGAGAGGCAGCAUCUCCUCCUAGCGUGGAGAGGCUGUAACAGUCUUCUUGGAACAUGCACAGAUAUAUAUUUUGAACACUGUACAAAGGGAGGGAUCGGCAGAGACUUCUCUCUUUUGGGAUGUUUGAAAGUAGCACAUGGGUUCUAUAUUAUCUGUGAAAUUAACUCCUCUGUGGUGUGUUCCCUUUGCUUCUGUGGAGAAUAAAAUCAAAUUGGGUUCUGGCUGAA